AGCCUUUUUCACUGCGAUGCAGUGUGCGUGGCCGCAAAGGCACCCCUGCGUGCUUGUUGCCUCCAGACUGGUGCUUGCUGGGCCUCUGCGCGGGCCUGGGAGGGGAGGCUGUGGACCAAGCAGACGCGACUGCGGGGCGUGGAGGGUGCCGCCGCUUUAAGGACCGGGCGAUGCCUGUUCUUUGCUCCUCUCUAUGUAGCAAGAGCCCCUUGCCCAGGGUCCACAAAAAGCACUCCGAGGAGGGGAAACGCGGCGGGCAAGGCCGCGCACUUCCACUUCCGGCCCUUCGGCCGGGGCCCUUCAGGCUAAGGAUGCUUGUUUUGUGUGGCGCCAUCCUCAAAACAGGAAGCCUCUGCCACCCGCGCCCCGAGGGUAGAGAGAUAGUACCCUCACCGGAGUCGCUGUCCGCCCGCCGGUCUCGUCGGCGUGCAGGUGCCCGCAGUCGCUGACAGCCGGGGUUUUGGAGGGCGCGCAGCCAACACGGGAUGGAGCUCGGGUGCAGCCCUCGGCGUCCCCGCCGAGCAGCCCUGGGAGGCACCGCCACCAGCAGCACGCAGAUUUGCCCCGUCACUCCCUCCUUAACGAGAAAAGGAACGUAUGAGCCAAAGUCGGCUCGACAAUUUCCACUCAGAUGACCCCAAACACUGGUCUGCAGCUCUGUUAAUCGUUCUUGUGGAAAAAAGAAAUAACAAUUUAGUUUUUCAUGAAAUGAAAUACUCAAGCCAAAGGAUUGUUCCUUAUUCUGAGCCUCCCCCCGCUUUUUUUUUUUUUUUUUUUUUGGUAUUGUGAAACGAAAAUUCACUCUGCCAAAAGGAAAAAAAAUUAAACUGAAAGCUGAGUCAUGCAACUGCCUUUCCUUUUGUUCCUAAGCAGAUAGCUACAGAUUAAAGGUGAAGUAUCUCCACUCUAUGUUCACCUUAUCUUGUGUAAAGUGCCGAUUUACUGAGCGCCAAAUACAUAACUGUUGCCCUACCUGCUCCCUUUAUCGCAACAUGUGGCUUCAAUAAUGUGAACAUACCUUCCAUCUUCCCCCUCCAGCCUGCUUUUCCCCUUUAAAUAUUGAAGCCCUCAAAAUCAUCUUUGGAGAAAGGCACAGACCUGUCUUCUGGGCGCGAGUCCUUCACCUUCGCAACAUAAAUUUCUAAACUGAUACAGCUCUCCCAGCCUACUGACCCA
rnacentral:lncRNA from 10 species